rnacentral:rRNA from 1 species
AUGAACGCUAGCGGCAGGCUUAAUGCAUGCAAGUUGAGGGGCAGCAUGAUAUACGCGAGUAUAUUGAUGGCGACCGGCGGACGGGUGAGUAAUAGGUAGGAGACCUACCUCAUACAGGGGGAUAGCAUAGAGAAAUCUGUGGUAAUACCCCAUGAGGUUAUAUGAAUAGAGGCAUAUAAUCAAAGCAUAAGCGAUUAUGCGGUAUGAGAGGGGCCUACUGACCAUUAGCUAGUUGGUGAGGUAAGGGCUCACCAAGGCGAAGAUGGUUAGGGGUUUUGAGAGAGAGACCCCCCACAUUGGAACUGAGAGACGGUCCAGACUCCUACGGGAGGCAGCAGUAGGGAAUAUUGGGCAAUGGGCGAAAGCCUGACCCAGCCAUGCCGCGUGAAGGAAGACGGCCUUAUGGGUUGUAAACUUCUUUACUACGCGAAUAGAGGUUAGUACGAGAUACUAAUAGGAAGGUAGUGUAGUAAAAAGCACCGGCUAACUCCGUG